UUGAAGUGCAUAGUGAUAAUAAAUUUAAAGUUCUCAAUAUUCAUCGAUUCUUCAAUGAACCUGACGUGGAACAUUAUAAAAAUGCUGAAAAAAAACAUACUUAGAGUAUAUCAAUCAACAAGCUAAUGUAGAACAUUCUAGGAUGAAAAAUGGAGCAAGUGGAACAACUUUCAAUAUUCUAGCUGGUAUAGCUGAAACUGUGCUUAGCUAGGAUACAACAAUUGCAACUGAUGCGAAGU
rnacentral:lncRNA from 1 species